GCUAGCGUUGCUCGGAAUCACUGGGCGUAAAGCGCACGUAGGCGGCUUUUUAAGUCAGGGUUGAAAUCCUGGAGCUCAACUCCAGAACUGCCUUUGAUACUGAGAAGCUUGAGUCCGGGAGAGGUGAGUGGAACUGCGAGUGUAGAGGUGAAAUUCGUAGAUAUUCGCAAGAACACCAGUGGCGAAGGCGGCUCACUGGCCCGGUACUGACGCUGAGGUGCGAAAGCGUGGGGAGCAAACAGG
rnacentral:rRNA from 1 species